GGUCAAGGACAGAGGAACACCAACAAACUGAAGGUUCAUCACAAAGUGAGAGAGUCAACAAGAGCUGUCCCCGACGUCCCGCCACACUCGGUACAAAACGUGUUGGGCUCCUUGGGGCGGUCGCGUAGCGGACGUGUGGUAAAGCCCAGGAUGGCAUGGUGGGCCAACCAGAGGGUUGUCAUUGAGAAAGACAAUGUCAAGAUCCACUGCACCAGUAGUGACGAGCUGGCCAUGUCACCCGCAUUUCUCAGCUUCAGAACUGUCAAAGGCUUGAUUGUACACAGAGAUGACCUAGAAGACAGUAGAAGCGGAACUCCAGGCACCGUCAAGCGCCGCCCUGCCAGCA